rnacentral:rRNA from 1 species
AACCUGGUUGAUCCUGCCAGUAGUCAUAUGCUUGUCUCAAAGAUUAAGCCAUGCAUGUCUAAGUAUAAGCGAGUAUACUGUGAAACUGCGAAUGGCUCAUUAAAUCAGUUAUGGUUUAUUUGAUGGUACCUUGCUACUUGGAUAACCGUAGUAAUUCUAGAGCUAAUACAUGCAGGAGUUCCCGACUUCGGAAGGGAUGUAUUUAUUAGAUAAGAAACCAAACCGGUCUCCGGUUGCGUGCUGAGUCAUACUAACUGCUCGAAUCGCACGGCUUUACGCUGGCGAUGGUUCAUUCAAAUUUCUGCCCUAUCAGCUUUCGAUGGUAGGAUAGAGGCCUACCAUGGCGUUAACGGGUAACGGAGAAUUAGGGUUCGAUUCCGGAGAGGGAGCCUGAGAAAUGGCUACCACAUCCAAGGAAGGCAGCAGGCGCGUAAAUUGCCCGAAUCCUGACACAGGGAGGUAGUGACAAGAAAUAACAAUACAGGGCUCUUCGAGUCUUGUAAUUGGAAUGAGUACAAUUUACAUCUCUUCACGAGGAUCAAUUGGAGGGCAAGUCUGGUG